GUAUGGUCUCCGUUUAUUUACGCAUUAUGCUACCAAUUUUGGAGUGAGCUGCAAAACCAUAAUAUAUAGUUUUAAGUAACUAGAAACAUUUAGAACUUUUUCAAAAUCAACUCCUACAUUGAAUGGCAGCUUAGACCAAAGUUGAGCAUGCUGACUGCUUUUGAUGCUUAAAUGCAUUAUUUAUCUUGUGUUUUCAUGUUGACAAAAUGCUGAUCUGUUUACUGCAUUCUGCUUCUGCUGCUUUAGUUUAAGCUUUGUUUUUGUGAUAGCAUGUUGCUUGAUAUGUUUAUUUGCUUGCUGCAUGUUAUGCUUAUGAUUUAUUUAACUGUUUGUUGCUCAUGCAUGACGAGUAGUAGUAAAGUUCUGUUUACAUGUGUGUAUUGUCCAUAUUUUACAUGUAUUCACUGUUUAGUUUAAAAGUUGUUAAAUCAUGGCCUUAACAAAUGCUUAAGGGGCUUGUAAAAUUUGCACAUUCAUUAUAAAGUGAAUUUUGUG
rnacentral:lncRNA from 1 species